UCUGCUGGCAUGGGCUCACAAGGAGAUCUCCUGUUCCAUGGGUUGCAAAGACCUGUGGAAGAAAUGUGGUUUCCCCGGUGGGGUCGCACAAUCACUCACCGCUUCCCUUGGCUGGAGGUGGGGGUUCCUUUGGCUCUGUGCUGCUCCCAGGUGGGCCGUCACCCCACCCUGCUUUUCUUUGUUUUCUGUGGGUCAAGUUGUUUGCCCAAUUAGUCCCAAAGCGAGAACCUGGAUAUUUCAGUUGAAGGUGCUGUAUUCACUCACACCUUUCAUUCCUUUGCAUGAGAGCUGCGGGCUGCUGCUGCUUCUAAUCUGCCAUCUUGGCCAUAUUUCACAAUUGCACAUUUCUGAAAAGCUCCUGAGUAUUCUUGAUGCUACUGAUCCAUGUACCAUAUUUUAAGUUGCAAGGCUGAGAAUGAUUUCCUAGUUCUGG
rnacentral:lncRNA from 1 species